UCGAAGGUAGCAUAAUCAGUAGUCUUUUAAUUGAAGGCUGGAAUGAAUGGUUGGACGAAAUAUUAACUGUUUCAUAAAAAUUUAUAAUAUAAUUUUAUUUUUUAGUUAAAAAGCUAAAAUUUAUUUUAAAGACGAGAAGACCCUAUAAAUCUUUAUAUUUAAUUUAUUAUAAUUUUAUUGAUUUUUUAUGUUAUAAUAAAUUAUAUUAUUUUAUUGGGGUGAUAUUAAAAUUUAAUUAACUUUUAAUUAUUAGAUCAUUAAUUUAUGAAUAAUUGAUCCAUUUUUAGUGAUUAAAAAAAUAAGUUACUUUAGGGAUAACAGCGUAAUUUUUUUGGAGAGU
rnacentral:rRNA from 1 species